UGCACCUUGCCCGUGCCCAAGGUUGGGGGACCCAUUUAAAGCUGCAGGCAGCCUUCCUGCAAAGACACUGGCUCACAGUGGAUGGUUGCUUCUGAGUGGGACACCAGGACACCCGCUUAGGGGCCUAGACUCUAACAGCUCCCCCGGCCCAUGGAGCUGUCAGCUUAACGAUGGUAAAACAUGUCAGGAAGCAGGCCUGGGAAACCCUACAGCUAGCAGGGGCAGAAGGUAACUUACGCAUGUCAGAAAACGUAAGAAAAGUGGGCGAACAGGAUUCCGACUGCCAAAAAGCAGACUUUGGUAAGACACCUACCUCGCUUGCCUACUGAAACAAAGGUUCCUCUCGAGAUGCAGUGAGUCACGCAUAAGUUCCUCAAACGGCCUGGUAAUUGGCAAGCGCUCUGCAAAGACUGGCUUCGGAGUCAUGGGUCCGAAAUGGGUCUGCAAGUCGGCGACAUCCGGGCGGAACCCUCCUCAAGCUGCCAUCUCUCUGGCUGUCCCUCCUCUGCCUCCCUCGUCCACUUGCGGGCACCCUCGUGCUGACACUGGCCCACCCAGAUAACCCAGGAUCGCUUCCCUCUUUGAAGCUGAGCUGAUGGGCCACUUAACUCCAUCGGCAACUUCCGUUUUCCUUUGCCAUGCAACCUGGCAUCUUUGGUUUCCAAGGAUGAGGGCACAGAUGUCUCAGGAGGGUGGUGG